GGAAACCCCCCAAAAGUUUAAGAUUAGAUACUUCCUGCAAGCCUAGAUGGACGGCUAAAUGUUAGCUAUGGAUAUACAUGACUGGUUCGCGUCCGGAAAAAGGCUUGAGGUUAUAGAGCAACAGUCGCUGAGCAGAGAUAAACGCCGAGUGCCCCGGAGGGGUGGGGGGCUCAACUCGCUGGCACUGGCUGUAUUUUGUUAAACACGGGCAUUUCCCCCGAGCACCCCCGGACGAUUUUACGGGAGAGAGGAAGCUUCACUCUGCUCCCUGGCCACAGUCUAGAAGCCAUCUGGGAAAGGUCAUACCGGUGAUAUCCAUGGCAACAGUGGGAGCGCAUCUCCAACGCUGAGUGGACUUCUGCUAUGCCCGGUGAGCACGCCCCACACAGCAAUGCUAAGUUAACCCUAACGUGACUCUCAAAGUCAUCGGAUCACUGUACUGCUCACACCGCACAACGUGUUGCCUCGUAAUUGGGAAUUGUGACAUCGUUGUGGCGUGCACGCUACACGACUGAUCAGCAACAGGGGCUCACAAAAUCCUGCCACAAGAUCUUUCACCAGGAUGAAUCCCCGAGGAAUCUGGCUGGUCUCCAACUACGUUUUGUCAUGAAAACGCGUGCGAGAAAACUACAGACCUGUAGCUGUAGCCAUGCUUGCUGAUGCUGGAGAGCUCCUCCCUCGGGUUUCACCGCACCCUGUGUCGUUGGCCUCUCAUUAGCUCCAGCUUGUAGCUGCACUCAUGUCUGUGUCACAGCACUUUUCACACCACAGGAUCUGGAGUCACUGAUAUUUAGCCUGCUAGACAUUUAACGGGCAUCUGCGACUCAUCUGCAAGUCUGUGGGGACGCAUCUUUGAAAAAUUCACAAAUAGCAAUCGAGCGCUGAUUUGGCGCCAGCGAACGAACACCGAUUCGCCUCCCAUCUGGGACAUUUCUCGGCGAUCUCCAAAACCUGUCGACGACUGGAAUACUGGGGCUAAAAUCAUGUAGUGUGAACUUAUAAGAAGAAUAUCAGCAUCCUUCAGCUGAACGUCACCUGGUCCUUUGGCACUUAGUACACAUGUGACCGCAAGACUCUUACUGCGCUACUCAGUCAACCACUGGCUGUUUUCUUUACACCGAUUUGAUCUCCAAAGUAUAUUUUUAGAUACACUAAGUAUGCCCUGCGAGCAGACUAUAAUAUUAUACUGUAGCGUCCCCCACUGUGACGUUCCUGAUGGGCCACACCUCAUUACACCCACACCAUACAUUAACAUUUUCAAUGAGCUGAUUCCCCCCACAACUGACACCCGGAAAAAAUAUCUGAAGCUGGUUGGAUUGGCUGAAUUGGAAUUGAAGGGGUGGCUUUACUCUUCCAGGGUAGGGCAUUUGAAUCCCACCUACAAUUUGAAUCAUUUGAUUAUUCUCCCCCAUAGUUAUUGACCCAAAAUUUCCCUUAGUGUGCAAAUGUUUGACUAGUGAUGGAACGGUUGCUCACCCAGAGUGUUAUCUAUGCUGUGUCUAGGCUCUGUACUCCUUGCAACUCUGUACUGGAUGAGCAGUCAUGGAAGAUAACUGGUGAAAGACCAGCUAACUGGCAGUACUAAUUUUUAUUUGCCAAACUGUGAUAAUCUUAUUAUGGGCUACAUGCUGUCUUAACCUCUGAAACUUCACAGAAAAGAAUGAUGAUGCACUGUGUCAUGGCAAUGGGACAGAGUACAUAAUCUUAUUAACAAGGUGCGCUGAAGAACACUGUACUCCGCUGCACACCGUGGUCUGACCAGGUUUUCUGCCAAUCUGCAGGGAAAGCUUCUAGUACAGAGUGCUAACAAGAUCCGCUAAUGCAAAUCAUGCAGCUAAGGUGACCAAUGAGGACUCAGAGUUCAAGCUGCAUUGGGUAUCACUGGAUGGAGGUCAUAGCACCUCCACCGUUGACCAGCUGCCCACUUCUUGGUAGUCAUGGACUGAGCUUAACCAGCAACAGGACAAUUAUUGUGCAUAAAAGCUAGGUGUGAAGUUUGUUUCCUACUCAAUGAAUCCAACCCACAUACACUGUUGUGUAGACCCAAUAUUUGCCUCCUACACUGACCUAGUGAAGUGGGUAUUUGCCACAUAAAUAUCCUCAGGACCCAAUAACCAGACAAUUUUUUUAUGUAGUGAACUGUUUCUCCAUAGUAGUCAAAUCAAACUAUUGGUGUGAUUAUACAGUGUUGGCCUUUUCCUGACAUUAAUUUUUCUACAAUUUGUUCACAUCCCCUGACUCCUCUUACACUGUUUUUGUGUCCUGGGGGUUAGUGUGUUUGGAAAGAACACAUUUAUACUGAAAGUGAAACAUGAUUUAAAGUGUACUGAGCCAUCAGAGUGAAAUAAAGAGUAUAUCUAUCCAUCCAUCCAUCUAUUUUCUGUACGGGCUUCUCCUAUGGGGUCCAGAGGAGUCCAUCUGAAAAGGAUAAAUACAGGUACAAAUAAAGAGCACAUGAGAACAAAAUAAACAUAGUUUGAACAUAGAUUGAAUAUAGUAGGUAAGUUGUUUUAACAGCUUCCUGUACAUAUACAAAAUGCUUAAGGUGGCUUUUACUCAGUUAAUCUGCAGUAACAGUUAUAACAUUAGGGUCAUAUUUGUUCCAAGGUCUGUGUUUUCUGAGUCACAAAAGUUCCUGAAGCCCCGACACUACAGCGAAACAUUUGUAGUAAAGCCAAACCGGCCAAACUGUCAAUAACAAGGAUA